UUUUGGGUAACAGGUGUAGCAAUACAUGCUGACGACCGGCGCACGGGUGCGUAACACGUAUAUAAUCUACCUUUUACUGGAGAAUAGCCCGAAGAAAUUCGGAUUAAUACUCCAUAAUAAUAUUGAGGGGCAUCUCUUGAUAUUUAAAGUUCAGACGGUAAAAGAUGAGUAUGCGCGAUAUUAGCUAGUUGGUGAGGUAACGGCUCACCAAGGCGACGAUAUCUAGGGGUACUGAGAGGUUACACCCCCACACUGGUACUGAGACACGGACCAGACUCCUACGGGAGGCAGCAGUAAGGAAUAUUGGACAAUGGUCGCAAGACUGAUCCAGCCAUGCCGCGUGCAGGAUGACUGCCCUAUGGGUUGUAAACUGCUUUUAUACGGGAAUAAACCCGGGUACGUGUACCCGGCUGAAUGUACUGUAAGAAUAAGGGUCGGCUAACUUCGUGCCAGCAGCCGCGGUAAGACGAAGGACCCAAGCGUUAUCCGGAUUCAUUGGGUUUAAAGGGUGCGUAGGCGGGUUGAUAAGUCAGUGGUGAAAGCCCAACGCUUAACGUUGGAACUGCCAUUGAUACUGUCGAUCUUGAAUGUGUUUGAUGUGGGCGGGAUAUGACAUGUAGCGGUGAAAUGCUUAGAUAUGUCAUAGAACGCCGAUUGCGAAGGCAGCUCACAAAGCCACUAUUGACGCUGAGGCACGAAAGCGUGGGGAUCAAACAGGAUUAGAUACCCUGGUAGUCCACGCCGUAAACUUUGAUCACUCGCUGUUGGCGAUACACUGUCAGCGGCUAAGCGAAAGCGUUAAGUGAUCCACCUGGGGAGUACGGUCGCAAGACUGAAACUCAAAGGAAUUGACGGGGGCCCGCACAAGCGGUGGAGCAUGUGGUUUAAUUCGAUGAUACGCGAGGAACCUUACCAGGGCUUGAAAGUUAGCGACUUACCGUGAAAGCGGUGAUCCCUUCGGGGCGCGAAACUAGGUGCUGCAUGGCUGUCGUCAGCUCGUGCCGUGAGGUGUUGGGUUAAGUCCCGCAACGAGCGCAACCCCUACUUCUAGUUGCCAACAGGUAAUGCUGGGGACUCUAGAGGAACUGCCCGCGCAAGCGGUGAGGAAGGUGGGGACGACGUCAAGUCAUCACGGCCCUUACGUCCUGGGCUACACACGUGCUACAAUGGCGGAGACAACGGGCAGCUACACUGCGAAGUGAUGCUAAUCUCUAAACUCCGUCUCAGUUCGGAUUGAAGUCUGCAACUCGACUUCAUGAAGCUGGAAUCGCUAGUAAUCGCGUAUCAGCAAUGACGCGGUGAAUACGUUCCCGGGCCUUGUACACACCGCCCGUCAAACAAUGGAAGCUGGGAGUACCUAAAGUCAGUAGUCGCAAGACGCUGCCUAGGGUAAAACCGGUAACUGGUGUUAAGUCGGAACAAGGUAGCCGUACCGGAAGGUGCGGCUG
rnacentral:rRNA from 1 species